GGCAUUCUUGCACGGCGAAGGCCUUCUUCAUUUUCAUAAUCCAGUUAUCUGCUUCUUGUGGCUCGAUGGUCCCUUUGAAGGCUGGAGGAGCUAGCUUCUUAAAUUCGACGAUAUUGUUUCUCUGCAUCGGAUGUUCUCCAUGUCUAGGUAUUGGUGGAAAUUGCUGACGUGGCUGUGCAUGUUGUUGUUGAAGUAACUGUUGCAGUGUUUGAACUACUCCGAUCAGAGUUUGCAUUAGUUGAGUCAUGUUCGGCUCCUGUGCUGUCGCAGUAUUUUUGGUAGGAUCAUGGAUUCCCUCCUGCUGAGUUGUACCGCUGUUUAAUUGGGGAGUAUUAUCGCCAAGUGGAUUUGAUGUCCCUCCUACCGUUCCUUGAGUAUUCCUCGCUCGUCAUGGAGGCAUAUUGACCUAUGUUAGAUUUGAGAUAAUAACUUAUCCUUAAUAAGGUUAUAACUUGUGACAAGUCAAAUCAUAAUCAUCAUGACUAACCUUUCAAUUUCCUAAUGUCUACCCGUCACUCGCUCACUUAAUUCUACAUGUCUCUAUCU
rnacentral:lncRNA from 1 species